AUUGAACGCUGGCGGCAUGCCUUACACAUGCAAGUCGAACGGCAGCACGGGGGCAACCCUGGUGGCGAGUGGCGAACGGGUGAGUAAUGCAUCGGAACGUACCCGGAAGUGGGGGAUAACGUAGCGAAAGUUACGCUAAUACCGCAUAUUCUGUGAGCAGGAAAGUGGGGGACCGCAAGGCCUCACGCUUUCGGAGCGGCCGAUGUCGGAUUAGCUAGUUGGCGGGGUAAAGGCCCACCAAGGCGACGAUCCGUAGCGGGUCUGAGAGGAUGAUCCGCCACACUGGGACUGAGACACGGCCCAGACUCCUACGGGAGGCAGCAGUGGGGAAUUUUGGACAAUGGGGGCAACCCUGAUCCAGCCAUUCCGCGUGAGUGAAGAAGGCCUUCGGGUUGUAAAGCUCUUUCGGCAGGAACGAAACGGACUGCUCUAACAUAGCGGUCUAAUGACGGUACCUGAAGAAGAAGCACCGGCUAACUACGUGCCAGCAGCCGCCGUAACAC
rnacentral:rRNA from 1 species